CUUCCUUGGUAGGAAUUGAACCUACAGCUAAUCGGUUAACAGCCGAUUGCUCUACCAUUGAGCUACAAAGAA
rnacentral:tRNA from 1 species